GUGUCCAUUGCUAAAUGGUUAAAGCAUCCAACUCAUAAAUGGCAAAUUCGUAAGUUCAAUUCUAUUGGAUGCA
rnacentral:tRNA from 1 species